UCCUCUUGUAUACUUUGAAUCAGCUCUAGAUUACUUAUAAUACCUAACACAAUGUAAAUGCUGUAUAAGUAGUUGCUCGCACAUGGCAAAUUCAAAUUUUGCUUUUUGGAACUUUCUGAAAUUAAAAAAUUUGUUUCAAUCCACGGUUGGUUGAAUUCAUGGGCGUGGAACCUGUGGACACCGAGGGCUGACUAUAGCGAGAACAGGGUAUAUAAUGCACCCAGCUCCCUAAAUAUCAACCCACCACCAAUACCACUCAUCCUAGCUUCUCCACUAGGAUACACACACAGUACACACACACACAAAACCACUGCAAUCCAGAUUAUUAUGGAGCAGAUUCCAGACAUGAUACAAUUGUGUCUGUGGCUGUUUAAGACUGAGUCUCUAAAAGAAAAAGGCUCUGGAGUUCCCACUGUGGCUCAGCGGUAACGAACCCUAUUAGAAUCCAUGAGAACGUGGGUUUGAUCCCUAACCCUGCUCAGUGGGUUGCUGUGAACUGUAGGGUAUGUAGGUCACUGCCAGGGCCUAGAUCUGGCGUUGCUGCGGCUGUGGCGUAAGCCGCAAGCCGGCAGCAGCAUCUCUGAUUCGACCCCUAGCCUGGGAACUUUCACGUGCCACAGGUGUGGUCUUAAAAAUAAAUAAACAAAUAAAUAAAUACGUAAAUCAGUCAAUCAGUCAGGCUCUUACAAAGCACACACAUCCACACUACCACUACCUCACGCUCAGAAGUCAGCAGUAGUUCCUUAAUAUGACCAAACACCCAGCAGGGUACGAGCCCUCCUUUUGUAGCUGCAUAACCCUUCUCACAGAGCUGCAACAUCGUUUAUCCAUCGGGUCCCUGGGUGUUGGCCUUCGAUGACAGUACUCUUAGUUUUUCAUUAUUGCAUGUAAUGCCACUGUGUAUAACUUUGACAGCAACUUUUGCAUAACUUUCUGAUCAUUUUCUUAGGAUAAAUUGCUAAAAGUGGCAUUGUUGAGUCAAAGGCUGUGUAGGUUUUUAAAGACUCUUGUUCUAAAAUGCCCAAUUUCCUUCCAGUUGGUUCUCCUCAUUUAUGCAAUUCAUGAGGAAUGCAGGAGGCUGUCUAAUUAUUCCCGCAGUUUUAUUUUUAUUCUUCAGUAUAAAUGUUAGAAUUAUUUUGUCAAAAUAAAAAUACGAUAAAACUGCUUUUAAUUUUUGACUGCAUUUAUAUAUAAUAGAUAAUUUUUAGAUGAGUUUGUAUCAUAAUGCUAAGAAUUCUUAUCCAAGAAUAAGCAUUUUAUGUUCUUCAGGAAAUGUAUUGUUUUAUUCAUCUGCAUUCCCCACACUUCUUUUAAAAGACUAUGGAUUUUAUAUAAUUUUUCAUAAUUGUGAGUAAGAUUACUUUUCUUCUCUCCUUCUCAUUUCUUUUGUUCUCUGAUCCCCCAGCUAAUCAUUGCUGGUGUAAAUUACAGAAUAAAUACUGUAUGUUUAUUCUGUAAUGUCAACCUUAAUGAAAUUUCUUAUUAGUUUCAAUGGGUUUUUUUCCAGUUGAUUUUCUAGAUCUAUAUUCAUAUCACCUGGUAUUUUGACUCUUUCUUUUAAAUAUCUUACCUUUUAUUUCUGUUUCUUGUGUAAUUGCAGUGGCUAGCACUGCAAAAUAAGACUAAAUGGUGACAAGAAUGGUUGGCAUCAGGGUUUCACUUCCAACUUGAGUGGAAGUGGCUCUGUUCAUGGUUUAAUUUCUGCUUGAUGGUGGCUGUUGGUUUGUAAUUGAUCUCAGCUUAGGGUUUUUUUAAAUAUUGUAAAACAUUUAACACAGAACCUUUAAAAUAGUAAACAUAUAAUAGGUGUUUUUGUUGUUAUAUUUAUCAUGAAAAGAGAUAAACAUUUGAAUUUCCUUUCAUCAAGAUUGAUUCUAAAAUUAAGAAUGGAUGUUGAAUUUUAUCUAUUGCCUCUUCAGUGGCAUUUAAUUAAAUUACUUAUUCUUUACUCUAAUUUGUUAAUAUGAUGAUGUAUUAACAUUGAUAAAGCCUUCAUUUUUGGCAUCUAAAGCUAAUUUGGUCAUUAUCCUUUUAAAAUAAUGCUAGAUUCUAGUUUUUAAAAUUUUUAAACUUAUUUUUAUUUUCUAUUGAAGUAUAGUUGAUUGAUAAUGUUUUAGGUGCACAGCAAAGUGAUUCAGUUAUACAUAUGUAUAUGUAUAUUCUUUUUCAAAAUCUUUUCAUUAUAAGUUAUUACAAGAUAUUGAAUACAGCUCCCUGUGCUAUAUAGUAGGUCCUUGUUUAUGGAUUCUAAUUUCUAAUACUUUAUUUAGAGUAUAUGCAUCUAAUUUUAUGAGUUAAACUAUCAUUAUUUUUCAGAGCUAUCUUUGUUCAGGUUUGAGAUCAAGGCCAUGCUGGCUUGCAAAAUGAAUUGGGAGUUUUUCUGUCCAUCCUUCCUCCCCACUCUCUCCCCCUCCCCUAUAUGCUCUGUUCUGGGAAAGUUUGAAGAAGCUUACUUGUGAAAUUUCCAUGGGCAAGAACCUUAAAAAAAUACGUGCGUGUAUAUUUAAAUUUUAUUAAAGAUAUCUGUAUUAAAUCUAUCUAUAGUUUAAACGAUAUUUUCAAUUUCUUUCAUAACUAUUGCAGCUCUUAGUUUUUCUGCUUGUUCUUGAAUUAAUACUGGCAAUUUAUACUUGCAAAGAAAGUCAUUCUGACUUUGUUACUUAUUGGCAUAGAGCUGCAACCAGGCUUUUAUUAGUUAAAAAUAACUCUUCUGGAUCAGCAAUUGUAUACUUUUAUCUUUUAUAUCACCAGGCACUUGUGCCCUCUCGUUUCUGACUAGGGUUGCCAGAGAUUUAAUUAGUUGUUUCAUAGAAUAAGUUAGCACACAUUUAGAGGUGCUUUUUCUAACCCUUUAAAUUUUAUUGUUUCCCCUUAAAUCUAAGAGAACUUCAAGCUGAGAGUUCUUCUGUAAGGAUAGCUAUAUGUGAAUCCUAAAAGUUUUUAUAUGCAAUGUUUUGGUUACUGGUAUGUUCUAAACAUCUGUGGUUGCUGUUUUGAAUUAGACUUUCACCCAGAGUUUACUUUUACCCAAAGAGUAAUCUUUAAGAAUUAAGACUUUGUAUAUAGACUUUGUUUCUUCCGUUUCAGUUUGCCUUUUUGUUUGUUCACAUUUUAUUAUUACUAUCUACUUUUAUGGCAUUUUAGGUAGAAUUGAGACCAACAUUAUUCCCAGCUUUGAAAACUUUCAAUUUUUCAUGCACGAUGUGAUCAAUUCUUGCUACUAUUACGCAGGCGUUUCAAAGAAUGUCUGUUACCAUUACAUGUUUAACGUAUAUAACUAAAGCCUAUUACUCAUGCUGCGAAAAUCUUCUACCUGUAUUUAUUUCUAGUCCCUUGCUCCAAGUUGAUAGAGAUAUAUUAUUUCUUCAACUGCGAUUGUGUUUUAUUUCUUCUCGUAUCAUGUGAAAUUUCUGGAUUUAAUAGGUGAGGACAGCUAAAUACUGGCAGUUUUCUGUGGUUUCGCCUAUCCUUAAAACAUUUUAAAUGUAUAUUUUAAAAUAUGUUUUAUGUUUGAUACAUAAGAAUUCACUGCCUUACAUAACUACAGUGGGUGCUACCCUUUUGUCUCUGACACUCUGCUUUGAAUUCGAUGCCCUAUAAUAUCACUGCUGCCAGCCCUGACUCGCUGCUUGUUUGCGUUUUCNNNNNNNNNNNNNNNNNNNNNNNNNNNNNNNNNNNUUCACAUAAUUUUACGUACAUCUCUUUCCUGCAGCUUAUCUUAAGAUCUUGUUGUGUCUCUAUGUGAGAGGCUUUUAUUGCACCAGAGGUGUUAAGCCGCGGCACAUUUAUUUAAUAACCAAUAUACUCAGUUCUUGUAAUUUUUUUUAUUUCAUUUGUUUGCGUUCCAUUUUUAAAAAAUCCUCCCUUACUGUUUCCCUUCAAUUCUUUGCCUAUUUUUGCCUCUUUUAUUCUCCAGUGAUUUGGAAAAUAUCCAGCUUAUUUUUAUUCUCCUGGUGCCUCCCCUUCACUUCCUUCCUUCCUCUUCCCUCUUCAGCUUUAUUUAGAAUAAACGAGAGUGGAGAGUCAUGUAUUCAUUCAGCCAGUAGAUAUUUAUUAAGAGAUUUCUGUGUGCCCUACGCUGCAGUAGGCAAUGCAAGUCAGUGGUGACGGAGCCCUGCUCUUAUCGUUUAAUGAGGGGACAGAUAAUAAAUAUGCGAACAGGGAAGUGACCAGAGUGAUUCCUGUGCACAUAAUUAGAGUAAAAUGAUGUGGCAGAAAGUUACUAGUGGCUUCUUAGGCUGGAGCCCAGGAAAGGCCUCUGUAUACGUUUUCUAGCGCUCCCAAAACAAAAUGGCACAGGCCAGGUGGCUCAACCAACAGAAAUGAAUUUCCUCCCAGUUCUGGUGGCUGGAAGUCCAAGAUCAAGAUGUCAGCUGGGUUGGUCUCUUCUGAGGCUUCUCUCCUUGGCUUCCAGGUGGUCAUUUUCUCCCCGCGCCUUCACCUGGCCCUCCCUCGGGGUGCGUGCUUGUCUGGUGUCUGUACCUCCUCUGCUUAAAAGGACACCAGUCAUAUUGAGCGAAGGCCCACUCUGAGGGCCUCGUUUUAACUUCCGUCUUNNNNNNNNNNNNNNNNNNNNNNNNNNNNNNNNNNNNNNNNNNNNNNNNNNNNNNNNNNNNAAAUGUAGGGGGGACAUAACUCGGCCCCUAACAGCCUGUCCCAGGAGGUAGCUGAGAUCAUUUUGAAUGUGUUCGAUUUGAGACACAUGGAGCCGCUCUGUGUGCAGCAUGGUAAGUGUCUGGUGCUCAGAGCAGUGUGCCUUGCAGCAUAAGUGUGAGUUAUAUGCACCUGUGAAGUAGUCUGUGGAAGUGACGAACGGGAUAGAGUCUUCUCGGGAGAGCAUCUGAACUCGUACCAAAGAGGGCUGCCAGCUAGGCGCUGAGGCACUCCAGCACUUCAGGUUGGGUCAGGGAGAAAGCAAGUGAAGGAGGCAGAAAGAAAACCCCAAGAGAAGGGUGUUCUGGAGGCCAGAGAGGAGAGCAUUUCCACCCUGUCCAAAACUGUGGGAACGCCAAACAAGAUGAGAACAGAAAGACACCCACUGCGGUGUCGCUUGGAAGUCACGGCGUCCGUGGAAGGAGUAACCUCAGUGGGGCUGCAGGGACUCAGGCCAAGGUGGGUUGACUGGGGGAAAGUGGUGGGUGAGGGGGAGUGGAAACCCCUUCAAUGACAUUUUCAGGAAGUUUUGCUUGGAAGGAGAUUGAGGACAUGGAGCUGGUGGGGCUGUGGGGUCAAGAAUGAGUCUGACCUUUAGGAGGAGACAAGAUGGCAGAGCAGAGGACCUUGAGCUCGUGUCCUCUCACGAGCACUCGCAAAUCACACCUGACUGCUGAACAACCGUCGAUAAAAAGGCUGGAGGGAGUUCCCUGGUGGGUUAAGGAUCCAGUGUUGUCACUUGCAGUGGCUCAGGUCACUGCUGUAGCACGGUCAUCCCUGGCCUGGGAAUUUCCACCUGAUGCGGGUGUGGCAAAAAAAA
rnacentral:lncRNA from 1 species